UUCGCCCUUUUCGGUUGAUCCUGCCGGACCUGACUGCUAUCGGAUUGAUACUAAGCCAUGCGAGUCAUUGUAGCAAUACAAGGCAGACGGCUCAGUAACGCGUAGUCAACCUACCUUAUGGACGGGGAUAACCUCGGGAAACUGAGAAUAAUACCCGAUAGAACAUUAUGCCUGGAAUGGUUUAUGUUUCAAAUAAUUUAUUGCCGUAAGAUGGGACUGCGGCCUAUCAGUUUGUUGGUGAGGUAAUGGCCCACCAAGACUAUUACAGGUACGGGCUCUGAGAGGAGUAGCCCGGAGAUGGGUACUGAGACACGGACCCAGGCCCUAUGGGGCGCAGCAGGCGAGAAAACUUUGCAAUGUGCGAAAGCACGACAAGGUUAAUCCGAGUGGUUUCUGCUGAAGGAACCUUUUGUCAGUCAUAGAACCACUGACGAAUAAGGGGUGGGCAAGUUCUGGUGUCAGCCGCCGCGGUAAAACCAGCACCUCAAGUGGUCAGGAUGAUUAUUGGGCCUAAAGCAUCCGUAGCCUGCUUUGUUAGUUUUCGGUUAAAUCCAUAUGCUCAACGUAUGGGCUGCCGGGAAUACUGCAAAGCUAGGGAGUGGGAGAGGUAGACGGUACUCGGUAGGAAGGGGUAAAAUCCUUUGAUCUAUUGAUGACCACCUGUGGCGAAG
rnacentral:rRNA from 1 species